rnacentral:rRNA from 1 species
GAGUUUGAUCGUGGCUCAGGAUGAACGCUAGCGGCAGGCUUAACACAUGCAAGUCGAGGGGUAUAGUUUUCGGACUAGAGACCGGCGCACGGGUGCGUAACGCGUAUGCAAUCUACCUUUACAGGGGAUAGCCCAGAGAAAUUUGGAUUAAUACCCCAUAGUAUAGCACUAUCGCAUGAUAGUGUUAUUAAAGUUCCAACGGUAAAGAUGAGCAUGCGUCCCAUUAGCUAGAUGGUAAGGUAAC